AUUGAACGCUGGCGGAAUGCUUUACACAUGCAAGUCGAACGGCAGCACGGACUUCGGUCUGGUGGCGAGUGGCGAACGGGUGAGUAAUACAUCGGAACGUGCCCAGUCGUGGGGGAUAACGUAGCGAAAGCUACGCUAAUACCGCAUACGAUCUACGGAUGAAAGCGGGGGAUCGCAAGACCUCGCGCAGUUGGAGCGGCCGAUAUCAGAUUAGGUAGUUGGUGGGGUAAAGGCUCACCAAGCCAACGAUCUGUAGCUGGUCUGAGAGGACGACCAGCCACACUGGGACUGAGACACGGCCCAGACUCCUACGGGAGGCAGCAGUGGGGAAUUUUGGACAAUGGGGGCAACCCUGAUCCAGCCAUGCCGCGUGCGGGGAGAAGGCCUUCGGGUUGUAAACCGCUUUUGUCAGGGAAGAAAAGACUCCUGUUAAUACCGGGGGUUCAUGACGGUACCUGAAGAAUAAGCACCGGCUAACUUCGUGCCAGCCGCCGCGGUAAUAC
rnacentral:rRNA from 1 species